UUUGAAGUGAGUUAGAUGAUGAAUUUCAUGUUUACUUUUGUAUUUUCAUGCGUAUUUUCAAGCAUGAAUAUUAUUAUAUUUUGAUAUAAAUCUGAUGCAUGGGUAUUAAGCGCUAGUUAAAUAUUGCUAUUUCAGGAUUGAUUAUGCUAUGGGCACCCUAGUGACUAGAGUAUUACUAUCAUAUACUUCACAAAAAUAAUAAUCACCACAAAAUAUUAUGAUAUCAUUUAAAAAUAUUCAUGACUGACUUGUGUUCAGAAGUAUUUAUCAAUGACCUACAUACUCACAAAUGAUAAUAGCAGUUCAAAGAGAACAAAAAAUCUUUCUUACUAGAAAAAGGAUACAAAAUAGUCUAUCAUUAUAUGAUGAUUGUUUUUUUAAUGUGAGAAGUGAUAUCGAUAUUGAUAUUCAACGUCCUCAAGAUUGUCUUUUCUUGUUACCUUUUAUCAACUAGACAAAACUGUGAAUCCUUGCUUUUGACUUUUCAAUAUAUAUAUAAAUUUUUAUUUUUUAAAAAUAAAAAAUGGCCUAAGAGGCCCAUUUAUUUUCAAACAAAUAUUUACACAAACAAAUUAGCAAAGGAAAUAAAAGAAGAAAAAAUUAAAAGUAGAGAAGUCUCUAGAAAACAAAAGCAAGAAAGUGGCAAAAGGUGAAAAAGAAAAGUUGACAAUUAUCUGGAAGACAACACAAAUCUCCAAACAUCUUCACCUUCAAAUCUUUGAUCUGCUCUUCACUUCUGCCUCUCCUAGUUGUUCAUCAACUUCUUUACCAUACAAUCCAAAGAAGCCCGGUGAUGGUUCUCAUCCAAGAUUAAGGAAAAUGCAUAACUUAUAUUGUAUUUUUUAUCCAUCUCAGAUUCUAGCACGAGCUUUGAUAGAUUUUUUCUCAGACAUUCUAAAAUAUCAUGAAUUACAUGCUAUCUCAUCCAAGAGAAUACUUCUUCAACUCUACAAAAUCAGAUUUGGCUGUCAACCUUCAGAUAGGUUCAUCUUUAUUUAAGUGUUGUAUGCUUUAAAGCUGAUUUAAGAUAGAAAUUGGUUAACUGUUCUAUUAACCAAUAGGUUGAUCCUCAUGGAGCUAAUACCACUAAUAUAUAUGAUGAAAUAUUAGGUCAAUUUUCAAUUAAAUUGAGUAUGUUACCACUGCUAUUAUUUUCCAUGUAUGUUGUUUUUUCUCAUCUCCAUCAUGUUGUGCCUUAUAUUCCUUGAUUUUAAAGGAAAUUUCAUGUGCCAUAUUAUUUUGUUCUUCUGUUCCUAUUUGCUGCACGAUAAAAUUUCCAUUUUAACAUUUGGGAAUUCAAAUAUUAUGAAUUUGUUCUAUGUCCAAACUCAAGAUUGAUUUUCCAUCAUUUGGAACAUGUGUAAUUGAAUUAUAUGAGAUGCUUUGUGUACCUUCAGA
rnacentral:lncRNA from 1 species